GGGUGAUUAGCUCAGCUGGGAGAGCACCUCCCUUACAAGGAGGGGGUCGGC
rnacentral:tRNA from 2 species